CGAGAAGCUUCGGCAAUGGACGAAAGUCUGACCGAGCGACGCCGCGUGAGCGAUGAAGGCCCCAGUGGUCGUAAAGCUCUGUCAGGAGGGAAUAAAUACCUGCGGCGAAUAACCGCAGGGGCUGAAGGUACCUCCAGAGGAAGCGCCGGCUAACUACGUGCCAGCAGCCGCGGUAAUACGUAGGGCGCAAACGUUGUUCGGAUUUACUGGGUAUAAAGGGUUCGUAGGCGGGCUGGUAAGUCAGAGGUGAAAGCCAACGGCUCAACCGUUGAAUUGCCUCUGAUACUGUCAGCCUUGAGUCCGUUAGGGGAUGGUGGAAUUCCUGGUGUAGCGGUGAUAUGCGUAAAUAUCAGGAGGAACACCGGUGGCGAAGGCGGCCAUCUGGGACGGUACUGACGCUGAGGAACGAAAGCAUGGGUAUCAAACGGGAUUAGAUACCCGGGUAGUC
rnacentral:rRNA from 1 species